UUCAUUUUAUCUUCAGUACUGCUUUUGGUUUUUUAGAUAUUUACAAAAUUUUCAAUAACGUUUUAUUUUAUUACCAAUUAUGUACAAACACAAAGGCAAAGGUCAUUUAAGGAAAUUAAGUGUGAUCAAGUAUUUCGUAUCGGUUAAAGUCAUUCAAAACGUUAGGUUGUUCAGCUUCCGACAUGUUUAACUGUUUAGUUUUUUAAUCGUUUUUUGUUAGUUAGUGAUCAGCGUUGCCAGAUCCGAUGAUUUAUUGCAAAUUGGGCUCCUUUUGGGGAGUUCUGACUUAUAUUUAUGCGCCCAAAAAAUAUAACCUCUGUGACUUUAAGAAUUUCAAAAAUAGAAUAUUUAAAUUGACUUUUGCAUCGGCUUUUCGGAUCAAUAGGAAUUUUACUUUUGCUUUUCAAAAAAUAAUAAAUUUAUAUUUGACUCUUCUUUGGCUUCUGCUUUCAGAAUUUAUUUUAAUUGAUUUCUUCUACUUUUGCUUUUAAAAAGCUAUAUACAACACCAGUUUAAACAGAUGAAUCAACA
rnacentral:lncRNA from 1 species